rnacentral:rRNA from 1 species
UACGUAGGGGGGCAAGCGUUGUCCGGAUUUAUUGGGCGUAAAGAGCGUGUAGGCGGCCAGGCAGGUCCGCUGUGAAAACUCGAGGCUCAACCUCGAGAGGUCGGUGGAAACCGUUUGGCUAGAGUCCGGAAGAGGAGAGUGGAAUUCCCGGUGUAGCGGUGAAAUGCGCAGAUAUCAGGAAGAACACCCGUGGCGAAGGCGGCUCUCUGGGGACGGUACUGACGCUGAGACGCGAAAGCGUGGGGAGCGAACAGG